UCUUCAGCUGCUCGCGAGAAAAAGAACCUCCUUUUAUAGACCUGGACCAACUCUAGUCUUGCCUACAAUCUACUCGCCAACUUCCUUCCAAAUGACAUGCCCUUAUACACGCAGAAAAUUCUUAACAUCCACAUCUCAUCAUCAACGACAUAACAUCCAAAAGCAUCCUUUAUCAUCUAACAUGGGGCCUCCUACGCCACAGAUUCAUUCUCACAGCAACUCAGCUCGUCAUCCAGAGAAUUCUCAAGCUAACACUAUUUACUUUGAAAAAAUUACAUCUUUACUUACUUUAUAAUCAUCACUGAUAAAAACUUUAUUAUCUUG
rnacentral:lncRNA from 1 species